GUCAUAGUAUAGUAAGGCAUGAAAAAAAAAUGUGAAAAAAUAUCAGUAUUGUAAGGUGUCAAAAACGGUCAUAAAAUGUCAUAGUAUAUUAAGGUGUCAAAAAAUGUCAUAGUAAAGUGUCAAGAAAAGUGAAAAAAUGUCAUAGUAUAAUAAAGUGUCAAAAAAAAGUGAAAAAAUGUCAUAAUAUAAUAAGGUGUUAAAAAAUGUCAUAGUAUAGUAAGGUUUGAAAAAUAGUCAAAAAAUGUCAUAGUAUAGUAAGGUUUGAAAAACUGCCAAAAAAUGUCAUAGUAUAGUAAGGUGUCAAAAACGGUCAAAAAAUGUCAUAGUAUAGUAAGGCGUCAAAAAAUGUGAAAAAAUGUCAGAGUAUAGUAAGGCAUCAAAAAAUGUGAAAAAAUGUCAUAGUAUAGUAAGGUUUGAAAAACUGUCAAAAAAUGUCAUAGUAUAGUAAGGCUUGAAAAACUGUCAAAAAAUGUCAUAGUAUAGUAAGGUGUCAAAAACGGUCAAAAAAUGUCAUAGUAUAGUAAGGCGUCAAAAAUUUACAAAAAAUAUCACAGUAUAGUAAGGCAUCAAAAAAUGUGAAAAAAUGUCAUAGUAUAGUAAGGUUUGAAAAACUGUCAAAAAAUGUCAUAGUAUAGUAAGGUUUGAAAAACUGCCAAAAAAUGUCAUAGUAUAGUAAGGCUUGAAAAAUAGUCAAAAAAUGUCAUAGUAUAGUAAGGCAUCAAAAACGGUCAAAAAAUGUCAUAGUAUAGUAAGGCAUCAAAAACAGUCAGAAAAUGUCAUAGUAUAGUAAGGCAUCAAAAACGGUCAAAAAAUGUCAUAGUAUAGUAAGGUGUCAAAAAUGGUCAAAAAAUGUCAUAGUAUAGUAAGGUGUCAAAAAUGGUCAAAAAAUGUCAUAGUAUAGUAAGGCGUCAAAAACGGUCAAAAAAUGUCAUAGUAUAGUAAGGCGUCAAAAAUGGUCAAAAAAUGUCAUAGUAUAGUAAGGCGUCAAAAACGGUCAAAAAAUGUCAUAGUAUAGUAAGGCGUCAAAAACGGUCAAAAAAUGUCAUAGUAUAGUAAAGUGUCAAAAAAAGUGAAAAAAUGUCAUAGUAUAGUAAGGUGUCAAAAAUGGUCAAAAAAUGUCAUAGUAUAGUAAGGUGUCAAAAACGGUCAAAAAAUGUCAUAGUAUAGUAAGGCGUCAAAAAUGGUCAAAAAAUUUCAUAGUAUAGUAAGGCGUCAAAAAUGGUCAGAAAAUGUCAUAGUAUAGUAAGACGUCAAAAAAUGUGAAAAAAUGUCAUAGUAUAGUAAGGUGUCAAAAAUGGUCAGAAAAUGUCAUAGUAUAGUAAGGUGUCAA